GAUGAACGCUGGCGGCGUGCCUAAUACAUGCAAGUCGAGCGAACAGACGAGGAGCUUGCUCCUCUGACGUUAGCGGCGGACGGGUGAGUAACACGUGGAUAACCUACCUAUAAGACUGGGAUAACUUCGGGAAACCGGAGCUAAUACCGGAUAAUAUAUUGAACCGCAUGGUUCAAUAGUGAAAGACGGUUUUGCUGUCACUUAUAGAUGGAUCCGCGCCGCAUUAGCUAGUUGGUAAGGUAACGGCUUACCAAGGCAACGAUGCGUAGCCGACCUGAGAGGGUGGUCGGCCACACUGGAACUGAGACACGGUCCAGGCUCCUACGGGAGGCAGCAGUAGGGAAUCUGCCGCAAUGGUCGAAAGCCUGACGGAGCAACGCCGCGUGAGUGAUGAAGGUCUUCGGAUCGUAAAACUCUGUUAUUAGGGAAGAACAAAUGUGUAAGUAACUAUGCACGUCUUGACGGUACCUAAUCAGAAAGCCACGGCUAACUACGUG
rnacentral:rRNA from 1 species